rnacentral:rRNA from 1 species
UAAAUUGUUCAUUAAUUGUGAACUGGAAUGAAGGAAAAAAUAGUUUAAUUCUGUCUUAAAGUUAUUAAUCGAAUUUAAAUUUUUUAUAAAAAUGUAAAAAUAUAACUUAGGGACAAGAAGACCCUACAAAGCUUUUUUUUCUAUAUAUUUGUUUUCAAAUAUAUGAUUAAUUUGAUUGGGGCAAUAAUUUAUUAAUAAUAAAUAUAAAUUUAAUUAAAUAAUAAAAUUUUAAAAUAUUUUUGAUCCAUUAUUAAUGAAAGAUGAUUAAGUUACUUUAGGGAUAACAGGAUAAUUUUUAUUAGAAAGUUCUUAUUAAUAAUAAAGUUUAUUACCUCGAUGUUGAAUUAAUUUAAUUUAAUGGUGAAGUAACUUUUUGAGUUUGACUGUUCGUCAAUUAAAUAAUUACAUGAUCUGAGUUC